ACUUCCCCGCAACCUUUAUCUUCUGUAUGAGGUUCCCAUUCCUCCUCCCCGUCCCUCCCCUCCCCCCCACCCCUCCCUUGCCGUGCCUUCAUGAUGCGUCCCCAAUUCCCCGAUCCCUCGUUGAGCUUGCGCCACCGCGACGGACACAUAGCCCGCGCCGGCGCAACCGUCAUCCUCGCCUUGGCCAUCUGUUGCCUCCCGGUGGCCCCCGCUGGCGCACCGCCCCAUCCACCAUCCGCCAUGGAAGCUUCGUGCCAUCGUCGGCCAAGAGGCGGCCGCGGAGCCGCUGCCCAAGCUGGGGGCCGCGUGGCUGCGCCGAGGUGGCUAAGCAGGGCACCGCGCUUGCCGACGUCGUCGUGCCCGAGGAGGACCCCGCCCACGGGGUGGAGCCCAGCGGCGGUCCUCCCGGUUGUGCCCUCCCAGACGUUCUCCUCCACGAUGCCGUCUCCUCAUACGCGAUGUUGCGCACACCGCCACGCUCGCGAAUUCUCCAGCUGAUCCCCUCAUAUAUGUUACUUCCCAGGCUGUGUUCUCAGCGACAAGAUAGCGUUCUUGCAUCCGACGCAGUUCCGCUCGUUAGGCUGCGGCCUAGACGGCGAUUCCUCGCCCCAAGCUCCAGCGUUCCAGUAUGUGUGUUUCUAGUGUUUCUAGUGAGAUCCUGCUGGAGCUCUACUGCGCUGCCCGAGACGCGUAUAACAACUUGAGAAAUGGCCCAUUACAAGCGGCUCCUCUCAUGAGCCACACCAAGGCGCUGCUUAUACUUUGCCCUGACAUGCUUACCCAAUGGAACUUCAUGUUUGCAUUUUUUUCAUGUUUCAUUGAUUUGUUGCUAGAAGAUGGGGGAGCAAUAAUCUAUCUUCUUUCUUGCAAGAAGAUGGUUCUGUAUGAGAAAUAUGAUUUCACAAGGCUCAAGGAUGAGCUGCAAUUGUGUGCACUAAUCCUUUCCUACUCACCGAACAACGAGAGCACAUGGAGUCAAAGGUUACAAAAAUGUAGGUGGAAAUAUUAUAAAGUUAAUACUACUAUUUUUUGCAUAGUAAAAUAAGUGAAGGAAUUAUUUUAGGUCAUAUGACGUCUACAGAUUUUUAAUAUAAAUUAUAAUAAUAUAUUUUAGAAUAUAAAAUUGAUUGGGGAUGCAUAUGCCCACCCAAUUUUACAUAUCAUGUUAUCAUGGCCUCUUUGCAGUUUGAUUUUAAGUGUAUUUUGUUCUUGUACUUAUACUUAUGUUGAACUCUAACUGUGAUUUUACUAUUAUUUUUUUUAAAAAAUUAUUGAUUCUACUA